GACCACAUUCUGGUCAGCGCUUUGUCCCCACGAGUGUUCACUCGUGUCCUUCAACCCCACACUCCCGUGUUACACCUUCAGUCAAUAUUUGAAGGCCUGUUUAGGUAAACAUCAGGAACUCUCAGGACUCUUUGCAGCAGGAAACCUGACCCCCCCAAAUGAGUCACGAUCAACAGGCUCUGGCCAGAAUAACACACCAGCUUCCUGGAACAGGCGUGCUCAGAACCGCCAGGAGAAGCCCAAGAGACGUCAGCCCGACCUCUGCCUCCUUGGACGUACAGCCUGACCUUCGAAGAUCAAACAAACACACCCGCAAGCCUCCGGCUGCUCGGUGCUCCCCGGACAAGCACAGGGGAGACCCCGAUUCCUUUUGCUUGCAGCCUUCACGUAGUUUCAGGGUCACGGGUCUCAGCAGCACCGCCCUGGAUCUGCUCGCAAGGUGCAUGGAGGAGGCUCCAGGAUUCCGCAGUACAAGAAACUCUUUAGUCAAACACGGCCAUUAGGAAAAGAAUCUACUCAAAAUUCCAACAAUGAUGCAAAAGGAAAGAAAAUACUGAGUCCGGACGCUGAGGCAAGCUGAACGUCUGGACAUCACAGGAGCUGUAACAAUGCUCAUUCAUCACCCUGUCCCCUUGCGUCAGGACAAGGACCCCUGUGUCUGUCAAGACAAGCCGUCUGCCCAGCAACCCCACAGCUGCUGUCCCACUGCACCUGCCUGCUCGUGACAGGUGUGCUGUUUUGAGACCCAAACCCCAGAACCUGGAUUUACAGGGGGGCCGGCUGCUCAAUUUGGGGUUGGUCCUUUUUCCUCAGUGGAGCGGUGCCCCUCUGGAGAGAUUGGGGCAUUUGAAACCUUAUCUGCACCCAGAAGAACACGGUGAGCAUUUGCCUUUUGCUGUGGGCCUCAAGUGCCGGACAGAAGGAUAAGCAAAGGAUUUAGGCCACUUGCCUCAGCUUUGGGACCGAAAUGUCAAACCAACCAGGCCCACAUGUGAGCUUCUGGCAUUUCAAGAAUGUGGGAGCUAAGAAUCCAAGCGCCAGGCGUGCUGACCAGUAAGGCGUGUAGAGCCCAGUUGGCAGACUGUGGAGGACAAACACAUAGUAGCAGAUAGAAGUUUUUGCUUUUUCUGCUCAACUUUGCAUAACACGGGGCAUUAGCUUAAAAAUAUCACCCGUGAACAUUGCCAUGCAAAUGUACCUCCCAAGAAAAUUACUGCUGGCAGUUUCUAUUCCGGGAGAAACUUGUGAUAAACAAAAACCUCCCUUGGGUCCUGCUUAUUGUGGUAUUUAAGUCAGGGGGAAUGUUUCCAGGGCAAAAAAGACAGCAUUCUGCUAAUGUUUCUAGCUUCUCAGAGCCCAGACUCUCUCACAAGGUGUUGGGUGUGUAACCCAGGCUCCCCACGUCUGCUUCUUGGCAAAGUGUGAUUCCCGCUGCUUAGAAUACAAUCGGCCCUUGAACAAUGUGGGUUCAAACAGUUUGGACCCAUUUCCACACAAAUUCUCUUUCGAUAAAUACAGGCUAACGCUGUAAAUGUAUUUUCUCUUCCUUGUGAUUUGCUCAACAUUUUCCUUUUACACUUUAUUGCCAGGAUACAGUAUAUAAUACAUAUAGCGUAUAAAUUAUGUGUUAAUUAUUAUUGUGUAAGGCAUUAGGUCGCUGGUAGGCUCUUAGUAGUGAGGUUUGGGCAGAGUCAAAAGUUACAGGCAGGGGCGCCUGGGGGGCUCAGCGGGUUAAAGCCUCUGCCUUCGGCUCAGGUCAUGAUCUCGGGGUCCUGGGAUCGAGCCCCGUGUCGGGCUUCCUGCUCGGCGGGGAGCCUGCUUCCCCUUCUCUCUCUGCCUGCCUCUCUGCCUACUUGAUCAAAUAAAUAAAUAAAAUCUUAAAAAAAAAAAAAAGUCACAUGCAGGCCGAAGCUAUCCUGAGAAGACCAAAGCCCCAAACUUCAAGAAGCAUUACAAAGCUAUUAUCACCUAAACUGUAUGGUAGUGGCACAAAAAUAGUCAUACGGAUCAAAGGAACAGAAUAGAGAGCCCAGAAAUACUCUCUUGCUUAUCCGGUCAGUUAAUCCAUGACAAAGGAGACAAGAAUAUACAACGGGGAAAAGACAGCGUUUUCAAUAAAGGAUGGCGAAAAACUGGGCAGAUCUAUGACAAAGCAUAAAACUAGACUGCCUUCUUACACCACACACAGAAAUGAACUCAAAAUGCUUUCAGGACCUAAAUGUGAGACUGAAACCACAAAAGUCUUCAAAGAAAACACAGUCGGUAAUCUCUCGGACAUGGGUGUCAGCGUCGUAUUUAUGGGUCUGGCUCCUGAGGCCAGGAAAACAAAAGUGGACAUAAACUACCAGGACCAGACAGAAAUAAAAAAAGCUUUCAGGAUAGCCAAGAAAAUUAUCAGCAAGACAAAACAGGAACUUACUGAUCGGAGAAGAUUAUAUAUUCAACGAUGGGUUAGUACCCAAAAUACAUAAAGAACGUAUACCACUUACACAACCUAAAAAACCAAAAAUUUUUAAAAAAUUAAAAAAAAAUAUGCAGAGGAUCCGAACGGACAUUUUUCCAAAGAAGACAUCCGGGUGGACAAGAGAUGCACGAAAAGAUGCGCAACGUCACUCCUCCUUAGGGAAAUGCAAAUCAAAGCCACGGUGAGGUCUCACCUCACACCCAUCAGAACGGCUCGUAUUGAAAACACGAGAAACACGUGCUGGUGAGGACGUGGAGGAAAGGGACCCUCUUGCACUGCUGGUGGGAAUGCAAGCCAGUGCAGCCGCUGGGCAAAGCAGCAGGGAGGUCCCUCAAAACGUUAAAGGUGGAAAUACCUUAUGGGAUCUAACUCAUGCCACUGCUGGGUGUUUGCCCAAAGAAAAUGUAAACUUUAAUUUCUACAGUAGCCGAGAUGCGGAAACACCCCAGUGUCCAUCCGUGUAUACAUAUAGAAAGGGUUUAUGCCAAGUGAGAUAAGUCAGAGAAAGACAAACAACACAGGAUUUCACUCAUAGGCGGCAUCUCACAAACAAACCAGACUCUGAACUCGGGAGAACAAACUGGUGCGCGGGUGGGGGGUGGGGGUGGGCGGGGAACAGGUGGAGGGGAUUAAGAGGUACAAACCCCCAGUUAUAAAAUACAUACGCCACAGAGGUGAGAAGUCAACAAACAAACCAACAAAAAGUCAUUUGUGGGUUUUUGACUGUGGGGGAGGCCAGCGUCCUACCCCCCGAGUUGGUCAGGGGUUGGCAGUGUGUGGUUUCCUUUUUGGAAAAUGUAAAGAAAUGCCACAAACCCACACAAAACGAGGACAGCGUUGGAAAGGGAGUAGGUAAAGAAGAUGCCUGAGUGAGACUAAAGCUCCCAACCUGAAAAUCCUGGCGGGACCAGUCCUGGAGAGCCAGCUCCUCUCUGGGCAGGCAGCAGGGGUCGGGGGCCAGGAGAGGGGAGGUCUGCUCCGCUGGGGGCCUCGCGGGCACACAGGGAGGCCACGGGCUGCCAGAGGAGCCCGCUUCUAUCCUCCAGACUCCAAAAUGUCAGACCUUGCCUCUUGCCUCAGUAAAGGUGCCUGAUUUCCAGGGAACCAAGGAGAAACCUGCAGGGAACUUGAACCAGGUGACAGGGACCCCUCCGUGCCCCUCUAAGUUUCAGAGUUGUGCAGGAACGUGGGGUCGCCUCAGCAUCCUUGUAUACUCUGUGGGGACGGCAGGAGGGGGCCUGUGAGAUGGGAGGGGACAGGGGUGACUGCACCUGCCCCCCCCAUGCAGUGGGGGGCAUGCCUGGUGGGGCCAGGCCUGGUCACCAGCAGCCUGGUGGGGAGCCGGAGGGAUCUGGGGGCCCAGCCACCAGACAGAAAGCUCCCUGAAGGCCCAGUCUGCCCUCCCUGCAGGGCUCCCCCACACAGAGGGGUGUGAUCAUGGGGAUAAAAGCCUACAGCCCCAGCCCAGGUGGAGGCCCACAGAGCAGGUGACCAGCUUCCCUGUGGCCAUCUCCGUGUGUCUAUCCACGUGGCCAGGGCUCAAUGCUGGGGCUCCUGCCCUACACUCCCCCCCACCCCUCGCCUGUGCUCCAUCUGGAGUCCCCUUCCCGUUGAUAGGGCUGCGUCUUUCCCCCGGCUUCUGUUCUCACCGCGCCCAACUCAAACCCCCGAGCCUUUCAGCUCACCCGCAGAACCUGCCAGAACACCGCUGUACUUCACUCCUGUGCUCAAAACCCCGAGCUGCUUCCCCUCCACAAGCCUGCAACGCUGGCUCCCCGCUCCUGGACCUCAGAACUGGCUCCGCCUGCUCCCCCCACCCCCCAGAAGCAGCUUACCUGGAGACAGCAAGUAGCCGAGCCGAACUUGACUCUUUCCUUGAAUGACCUCUUCUGGGAACGAGCCCUUCGUUGAAGAUGAUUUUUGAGAAAUGUCAAAGAUGCGCCAGCUGCCUGAAGAAUAAAGCCCGUUUUGUUCAAAGACCCGUGCAGAUGCUCACAAACCAGGAUGUGGGGCAGAGGUUUUCCUCCACGGUGGCCCAUCUUGCCCCUUUGGGGUCGGCAUCUGGACCUGCAGGACAGCCCCUGAGGCCCAGGUGCGUUUCGCUUCUGGAACCCUCUCUCCUUCAACAUGGCUGAGCUGGAUGUUUGGAGCUACACCUCCUGCUUACAGUCAGACCUGGGAAUUAAUAUUGCAAUUGACUGAUUCUCUGCCUUUGAGGGUGCUCACGUCCAUGGCUUGGCUCCCACCCCCAGCGACAGUGGUUCUAGUACCUUCCGCCAGGACUGAAAUGAGAUUGUGCCCAGGGUGUGCUCAGCCUGGACCCCGGCCCUUCAUAAGUACUCAGUACCUCUUAAUAAUAUCAAAUCUGAUCGUGCUCUCACUUUGCCCCGCGUUCCGGAAAGGUGAGUAACAGUACUGACGGUUAGCAGGUUUUGAUGAUCUCUCUGACUAACACUGAAAUUCCCAAACUAGGGGGUGCCCGGGGGGCUCAGUUGGUGAAGUGUCUUCCCGUCGAUGGCGGCUGCGUCCUUCCCCCGGCUUCUGUUCUAACUGCACGCAACUCAAAAUCCCCCAGCCUUUCAGCUCACCCGUGGAACACACCAGAACUCCCCCUACUUCAGUUCAGGUCAUGGUCUCAGGGUUCUGGGAUCGAAUUCCAAGUCAGACUCCCAGCUCCGU